rnacentral:rRNA from 1 species
UGGGGAAUAUUGCACAAUGGGCGCAAGCCUGAUGCAGCAACGCCGCGUGAACGAUGAAGGUCUUCGGAUCGUAAAGUUCUGUUGCAGGGGAAGAUAAUGACGGUACCCUGUGAGGAAGCCCCGGCUAACUACGUGCCAGCAGCCGCGGUAAUACGUAGGGGGCUAGCGUUAUCCGGAUUUACUGGGCGUAAAGGGUGCGUAGGUGGUCUUUCAAGUCGGUGGUUAAAGGCUACGGCUCAACCGUAGUUAGCCUCCGAAACUGGAAGACUUGAGUGCAGGAGAGGUAAGUGGAAUUUUUAGUGUAGCGGUGAAAUGCGUAGAUAUUAAAAAGAAUACCGGUGGCGAAGGCGACUUACUGGGCUCAUUCUGACGCUGAGGAACGAAAGCGUGGGUAGCAAACAGG